UUAUCCUCAAAUAUAUCUCAACAAAAUAAUCUACAACAUACAAGCAUUAUUUCAGCUUUAGAUAUACAUGUACAGAUGUAAUAAGCAAUACACAUUCCCCAAUGAAAUGAACCUCUUACAAAUGUCAAUAUUGAUGUGUGUCUCAUAAGGUUGCCUAUAAAGCUUGAAACUGUCUUUGAUCUUAAUUAGCCGAUUCCGCAAUUAUUAAGCAAAUUUUAUGAAACUCAGAAAAUCUGACAUGAUCUAUUUCGUUUUUCUCAAUAGGAAGCUAUCUAGCAAGAGAAAUUAUCAAUUCUCAAAGCGUGAAGAGAAUAAGACCUGAAAACUAUGAAAAAGAAAAAAAAAACAGAUAAUAAGUACUGGUACUGAGAAAGCAGACAAACAUGAAAAAGACCGAUGAUGGACAGAAGGGAUUUAAAAUUCCAGAGUAGAUUUUACAGAGUACACAUAUCAACCUACAUAAAUGCAGGCAUUUCAUGUCAAAACAAACAAUAAAAAUGAUUUCAUUUAC